GAUGAACGCUGGCGGCGUGCCUAAUACAUGCAAGUCGAGCGAACAGACGAGGAGCUUGCUCCUCUGACGUUAGCGGCGGACGGGUGAGUAACACGUGGAUAACCUACCUAUAAGACUGGGAUAACUUCGGGAAACCGGAGCUAAUACCGGAUAAUAUAUUGAACCGCAUGGUUCAAUAGUUAAAGACGGUUUUGCUGUCACUUAUAGAUGGAUCCGCGCCGCAUUAGCUAGUUGGUAAGGUAACGGCUUACCAAGGCAACGAUGCGUAGCCGACCUCAGAGGGUGAUCGGCCACACUGGAACUGAGACACGGUCCAGACUCCUACGGGAGGCAGCAGUAGGGAAUCUUCCGCAAUGGGCGAAAGCUUGACGGAGCAACGCCGCGUGAGUGAUGAAGGUCUUCGGAUCGUAAAACUCUGUUAUUAGGGAAGAACAAAUGUGUAAGUAACUAUGCACGUCUUGACGGUACCUAAUCAGAAAGCCACGGCUAACUACGUG
rnacentral:rRNA from 1 species